rnacentral:rRNA from 1 species
UGGGGAAUUGUUCGCAAUGGGCGCAAGCCUGACGACGCAACGCCGCGUGGAGGAUGAAGAUCUUCGGGUCGUAAACUCCUGUCGAGCGGGAAGAAUUGCUUCGGAGUAAAUAGCUUCGGAGCUUGACGGUACCGCUAAAGGAAGCCCCGGCUAACUCCGUGCCAGCAGCCGCGGUAAUACGGGGGGGGCAAGCGUUGUUCGGAAUUACUGGGCGUAAAGGGCUCGUAGGCGGCCAACUAAGUCGGACGUGAAAUCCCCAGGCUCAACCUGGGAACUGCGUCCGAUACUGGAUGGCUUGAAUUCGGGAGAGGGAUGCAGAAUUCCAGGUGUAGCGGUGAAAUGCGUAGAUAUCUGGAGGAAUACCGGUGGCGAAGGCGGCAUCCUGGACCGACAUUGACGCUGAGGAGCGAAAGCCAGGGGAGCAAACGGG